UCCGUAGGUUGAUAAUUAAGUCAGAGGUGAAAUCCUGCCGCUCAACGGUAGAAUUGCCUUUGAUACUGGUUAUCUUGAGUUAUUAUGAAGUAGUUAGAAUAUGUAGUGUAGCGGUGAAAUGCAUAGAUAUUACAUAGAAUACCAAUUGCGAAGGCAGAUUACUAAUAAUCAACUGACACUGAUGGACGAAAGCGUGGGGAGCGAACAGGAUUAGAUACCCUGGUAGUCC
rnacentral:rRNA from 1 species